UUGAUGAAAUAGGACAGCAACAACAUCCGAAUGGUGGGCUGUUGUUUAGCUGCCCUACGGUUCUAUUUAGUAGGCUAAAAUAGAUGGGGAUGGAGAUGGAGAUGGAUGAUAGAGGACGAGAGAGGAAAGGGAAAGGGUAGUGAGCAGCAAUGGGAUGAUAAGGUAGGAUAAGUGGAGAUUGACACAACCUUCACAGUUAAUAAUAUAAAAAGCCAUCCUUAAAUGAGCACGACAGCCCAAUCUCCUCUA
rnacentral:lncRNA from 1 species